rnacentral:rRNA from 1 species
AUUGAACGCUGGCGGCAGGCCUAACACAUGCAAGUCGAGCGAGCGGCGGACGGGUGAGUAAUGUAUGGGGACUGCCCGAUAGAGGGGGAUACCUACUGGAAACGGUGGCUAAUACCGCAUACUAUCGGAUAACCCAUAUGUGUUUGGCUAGUAGGUGGGGUAAAGGCUCACCUAGGCGACGACCUCUAGCGGGUCUGAGAGGAUGAUCAGCAACACUGGAACGGAGAAAGGGCCCAGACUCCAACGGAGGCAGCAGUGGGAAAUAUUGGACAAUGGGCGCAAGCCUGAUGCAGCCAUGCCGCUGGUAUGAAGAAGGCCUUAGGGUUGUAAAGUACUUUCAGCGGGGAGGCGUUAACCGCAGAAGAAGCACCGGCUAACUCCGUGCCAGCAGCCGCGGUAAUAC